GAACGUUUUAGUUGUGAAUCUGAGGUCAGUUCCGCAUAGAAGUGAAGUUUAAGAAAGACUGGUUCAUGCUCUCGGCUGAGAAAACUCGUUGCGAGGUAGAGAGACGUAGGAGUUUCGGUCAUCGGCAACAAGUCGCUGUCAAGACGGUAUUUAAUUUAAUAAAUGGCUGUCAUGUCUGUGGUCUUGGUGAAAAUCGUGUAAGAGAUACUUCGACAGUCAACGACCGGCAAUCAGCCACCAAUCCACUGUUUCGAUCUGUCAAUAAUCGGGUAAUCAGCGGCUAAAAGGAUAUUAAAUUAUAAUAUAACAUAUCUUUAUACUCAAACAACUCAGACUUAAUAAUAUCGAUGACGUUUAGUCAUCAGACAUGACGAUUAACGGUUCAUUUUUUUGUUUUUUUUUUUUUUUUUUUUUUUCAACAAUUUUUUCUCUUGUAAAUUUAUCUCUCAGAAAAUUUUAUUUUUAUUUUUCAUUGAAUCUUACUCCUCUCUUAAUUUAAGUUCAAAGAGAGUGAGAUAAAAAGGAAGAACGGCAAUAAGCAAGACACCGUUUUACUCGGCACGCUGCUGCUUAUCAGGAACGAGUUCAGCCGGCCUUAAAACUCCUGUGAAUACCUGAUGCCGUGGAAUUUAUGCCUGAUAGCCUUAUUACGGGUUUACUUUUCCAGCAACGUUAAUAAAUCUUCAAUUUUAGGUAAAAAUAAGAGUUCCAAUUGUUUAGACAGCAUAGGCUUGCUUUCUUGGCUGAAUUUUAGUUACGUGUGGCGAAAGUUUGUAUUCACAGCUAAGCCAGUUCAUGACCCACCAGCGCCUGAGAAUUUAAAAGUUGGUGCUAAUGGUCCAGACACCUUGCAAUGAAGACCCGAGAUAAAGGUCGAUGAGGUAAUCACGAGACGUGUAGACUGGCGUCAUCGUACUAUACAAGAGGCACGCCUCUGUUGAAAUUCUAUUUUUUGCUGGCUCGAGAUAAUUGAGAGUACUUUUCACACCACUCCCUUCACAUCCACUCUUCUAGUGAUAUUACUUUUAAUAUUAACUUACUUAUGUUUUUUUUUUCUUCAUUACCUGCUUCUUUAAUUCUCAGUGAAGUAAUAUUACCAAUAAUAGUAAUAAUAUUGUGGAUAUACAGGAGGUUUUAUAUAAAUUGCAAGUCACACUUGCCUCCCGGUAUCAAUUUACACUGAUCACUACAACUGAAACUUAUAUUAUAUAUUUAUUACUCUAGGUAAUGAUACUUUAGAGUUGUCAACCAGUUAGAUAAUAUCAAGCAUCAAUUUAAUAUAAUAUUAUUUAAUCUAUAUUAUUAAGAGAAUUAGCAAAAUUUUGU